ACAGAUACGGUAAUUUCUUUUAUUGAUAAAUGGCUGUUCAUAGAGCCAGUGUGAGCAUAUUUAAAAGUUUAUCUGUAUAAUUUAUUUACUCUCAAUCUGAGGGAACUAAGAAUUGGGAUAUAGCAUCACCCAGUCCUCUCUUCACUUUGAAAACAACAAUACUAUAUGUCUAGACCAUAGGCGAGAUUAGGAGUCUUUGAGUUGGGUGACCAAGUUCCUUACACAGCGUCACAAAAUAAUUUUUAUGUACAAUAUGUAUUUUUUAUUUCAAAUGCCAUUAGUACUAUAUACUGGUAAUUGUCAUCAGUACUUGAAACUUAAUAUAAAUGACCACUUUACCAUAAUAUCCAUUUACAUGUUAAGUAAUCUUUCUUAGAAUGCCUCUCCCAGUGAAUGGAUUACAUUAUCAUAAGAAUUUAUUUGUAAUACAUGUUUUUGCAAAGAUCUGUGAUAUGCAUUUCAAAAAUAAAAUCACAUGAAAAAUC
rnacentral:sRNA from 1 species